ACUUAUAUAAUUUAUAUAGAAUAUUGCAUUGAAGAUGCAAGAGAGGUAUAUUUACCUAUAAGUA
rnacentral:tRNA from 1 species